rnacentral:rRNA from 1 species
UACGAAGGGGGCGAGCGUUGCUCGGAAUUACUGGGCGUAAAGGGCGCGUAGGCGGCCCUCCUUGUCGCGUGUGAAAGCCCCGGGCUCAACCUGGGAAUUGCGCGCGAAACGGGGGGGCUUGAGUUCGGGAGAGGAGCGUGGAAUUCCCGAGUGAUAGAGGUGAAAUUCGUAGAUAUUGGGAAGAACACCGGUGGCGAAGGCGGCGCUCGUGGACCGAGACUGACGCUGAGGCGCGAAAGCGUGGGGAGCAAACAGGAUUGAGAUACCCGUUG